GCCUCUCUCUCAAAGCUCACGCCCAAUCUCUCUGCCAAACCUCGCCGCGCCGGUGACAGUCCCACGCCGGUGACAGUCCCUCUGCCAACCUCUGUUAAACGCACCAAAUCUCAGCAAACAAUUCUCAACAAUUGAGCCCUAAUUCGCACCACAAACAACCAGCUCCUUCAAACAAUUCGAACCAUCCAAUACGUUUAGGUUUUUUUCUCGAUUAAGCUCGGCUAACACGUCAAGUUCCACAGAUCCCUAAUUUAAGGUUUUUGCUUGAUUCUCAUAAAUUUCUUAUUUAUUUCGCAUGCUCUUCUUUUACUGGUUUUGCAAUUUCUCAACAGUUGAGCCCUAAUUCGCCUAUUUCAUUCCUCACUGAAGAAGAAUUUGCCGCUGGGUAGCUGUGGAAUAGAUAUCAUCGUAAGUUCCUUUACUGGUAGAUUAAUUGAUUUUAAUUUUAUUUUUGGGGUAUUUGAGCGAUGUACUGUUAUUGAUUGGAAAUACACAAUCUUUGUUGUGCUGUGAUCUUUUUUCUGGGGGAAUAUUGUGCUGAUAAUUUCACUGAUAGACUAUGGCUAUCCGUAGCUUGUCCUUUCCUUGCUCUAACAUGAAUAUAGUCCUUUGGUCGCAUAGGAGGCUUUUGAUUUUGAGUUUCAUGACCUUCAUUAUUUCCCUUUGAUUCCUCCAUGUUAACUGCUCCAUUUUCUGUCUCAUUACCUUCUACUUCUUGUUUACAUCUCUUUGUUCUUGCAUUAUCAUCACCUUCACCUCCCUAAAAUUAAAAUUUGAUUAGCCACUAAUUGCAUUAGUUAAGCAAAUCAAGAUUAUUUUGACUUCAUAAUAAUCCUAACCAUGUUUCCAUUAGCGGGGAGAGCUUCUUUUGUUUCCUCUUGAAGAGUUGUUUUUCUUUUUCUAGUAGAAUUCAAUUCAGUUGGUGUUUUUGGCCCUGUUUCUCCACUUGGCUCUGAAAUAGACUCAUUAGAAUUAGUGAUAGGCCUGCCCAAAUUUGUAGACAUCAAUUCCAUCCUUGUUUGGCCCGAAUUAUUGAUUUGCAAAGGGGAUCCAGCUUGUUUCAGAGAAGGGCUACUUGAAACUCUAGGCAAUUUUCCAUUCCCCAAUUGUUGAGCAGAUCUAUGUGUCAAUUCCCCCAAUGGACUUGUUCUACCGUUACAA
rnacentral:lncRNA from 1 species